rnacentral:ncRNA from 1 species
GUGUACCAAUCCACACUUAUGGUGCCCUGCGGUCAAAAAAAAGGAGGAUAAAACCAGUCCGGGUGACUCCCGGUGCGGCAUUGUGGAGACAUGUCGCAAUGCGUCCGCCAAGCCCGGCGGUCGUGAGAAUGCGCAUUGCGGAGGCAGCGCAGUCAGAGUCGGAAACACUAUGGCA